UUAACUCGUACUCGAGACCAUAAUUAUGUAUUGAAUGAUGAAUUAUUUCAAUUAAUUUUUGAAAACAAAAAACAAAAGCAAAUAAAAAAGUUCCAUCAACAGAACUUUGGGCAUAUCUCAGAAUUAAAUCAACCAACUGAAUAAUUUAAGUAGCAUAUAUAUAUAAAUGCAUACAUCCAUGGAUCAUGUCCUCUUGAGUUCACUAAGUUAAAAAGACAAAACCUUGUUGCAGUGGAGACAUGAUCACGACAGUCUCAAAAUUUUGAGGUUGUGAAUGAAAAUGUAGUAUUAAAAUCCUGGCUUAAAACAUUUUAUCUAACCGCCGCCUCCGUCACCACCACCGCCACCGUCACCACCGAGUCCGCUUAAACGACGAUCUGGCUUUCGUGAAUAAGUAGCACUAACACCACCACGGGUGCUAUAUCUACUUGAACGAUGAACUGGUGGUGGUGCUCUUCGUGGAUAUGGCUCGUUCUCGUCAAGCCCACAGGAAAAUAUGAUCAUUGAUAUAAGCAAAAGAGACAGAAAAACGAUUCCCAGCAAACCUAAGGUACCCGAGUUAUACCAAAUUACUUCCUCUUGGGCGCCACCAUGAAACAUUGCAAGGAAUUCUCUAGCCAUUUUUGGAACCUUCUCUUUCUAAACCCUUCCUAUCAUAUAUUUUCAAAUCCGACCAGGCUCUUCGUGACCACUUUCAUCUUCUAACUGGGUCAAAAGCUUCCAGAGUUUAUGUUCUAUAAAAACUAACACAAGGGUGCAUUCUAUAUUAGUAAACCCUACUGUGGUACAAGAUU
rnacentral:lncRNA from 1 species